AUCCUCCACAUUCCCCACCCAUCAGAACUAAACACUGGUCUGAGUGUUUAUAAAAGGAAGAAAAGUAAAGUGGAAACUGACUUCAGUUCCUUUGUGACAUACAAGAAGUGUCAAGCAAAC
rnacentral:snoRNA from 1 species